rnacentral:tRNA from 1 species
AGCGGGGUGGGGUAGCCAGGUUUAACCCGCAGGGCUCAUAACCCUGAGAUUGGUCGAAGCUCUCGAUCCUCAAGCGGUG